UGUUGAUAAAAAGGAGGUUGAGGAUACUAAGGGAUGAAUUAAUUAGCCAUUCUUUGGUUUAUGAGUGGAUUAAAGUAAUGUGGUUUAUCAUUGUUAAGAUCGAUGGACAGUAUUUACCGCACCGCUUGUGGUUUCUCAAUUUUUAUAUCAAUUUGAAAUCUAAAAACUAGUAUUUAUAAAAAAGAAGAUGUGGUAUGAUUGCCAAUGAGACAACUAUCCACAAAAGACCAAAAUGACACAAACAUUAACAACUAUAGGCCACCGUACGGCCUUCAACAAUGAUCAAAGCCCAUACUGCAUAGUCAGCUAUAAAAGGCCCCGAUAAGACAAUGUAAAACAAUUCAAACGAGAAAACUAACGGCCUUAUUAUGUAAAAAAAAAUGAACGAAAAACAAAUAUGUAACACAUAAACAAACGACAACCACUGAAUUACAGGCCCCUGACUUGGGACAGGCACAUAUAUAAAUAAUGUGGCGGGGUUAAACAUGUUAGCGGGAUCCCAACCCUCCCCCUAACCUGGGACAGUGGUAUAACAGUACAACAUAAGAACGAACUAUAAAAAUCAGUUGAAAAAGGCUUAACUCAUCAGAUAGAC
rnacentral:lncRNA from 1 species